GCUGGACACCUUGGCGCGUGCCUGUAGUCCCAGCUACUUGGGAGGCUGAGGUGGGAGGAUUGCUUGAGCCCAGGAGUUCUGAGCGUAGUGCACUAUGCCAAUUGGGUGUACACUCUAAGUCUGGCAUCAAUAUGGUGACCUCCUGGGAGUGGGGGACCACCAGGUGGCUUAAGGAGGGGUAAACCAGCCCAGGUCGGAAACAGAGCAGGUCAAAACUCCCGUGCUGAUCAGUAGUGGGAUCUUGCCUGUGAAUAGCUACUGUACUCCAGCCUGGGAAACAUAGCAAGACCCCGUCUCU
rnacentral:SRP_RNA from 1 species